AGCCAGAAAAUCAAUCUUUUAUUAAUAUCUCAUUAGAAAUUAGGAUAAUAGAAAGGAAAAUAAAUAAGCAAUAACAAAAACUCCAAAGAUUGCUGAAAAACCGAAACCAAUCCUAGUAAAUUAGGAUACAAUUUGAUUAAGGAAACCAAAGCGAAAACCAAAAAAAAUUAUAUUAAUUGGAAAAAACCGCUGGAUUAUACACCUCUAUAUCCCCGCUCUGGACUUUCUCCUCUCUGCCUUCGGUGAACUAUGUGCACUAUCGGUCUCUCAUCUCUACCGUUCGCCGAAUGCAACACCGACCAACACGACCUCUCUGAUCGGUGCGUUUUUUUCCUCUCAUCUCUGUCGUUUGCCUAUCUGCAACUCCCAUCAGAAAAUUUUGUGGCUGGUGAGUUCUCCUUCUAUCAUCUCCACUGGAUUUGUUCUUUCGUUUUUUUUCACUCUUUCUCUCACUAGAGUCAUCGAAAUUGGUAUUGAUAAUGGACAAAAAUUUAAAAGACACAUAUGAGCUGUAAAAAGUACUAAAAGACUGCAACAAUAAAUGAUAUGUUAUUUGGUUAUGGCCUAGGAAUUGUUAUUUAAUCAAAAUAAAUAAAUAAUACAUUAUGAAAAUUUUAUAAAACAAUUUUGUUUGUUAAAAAUAUAAAAUCGUAANNNNNNNNNNNNNNNNNNNNNNNNNNNNNNNNNNNNNNNNNNNNNNNNNAAUCAUUUAAUAUAUAUAUAUAUAUAUAUAUCAUCUUCCUAUUCAACUUUUGUUAAAAAUCUCAUAAAUGAUAUAAUAGCUUUGUUAAAUAAUUUAUAUAGAAUAAAAAGCUUAUGAUAAUUCAAAGGGUAUAUAGAAUAACUUCAUUAAUUAUUUAAAAGUUUUGAUUUCGGCCCCUCCACUGAUAGUAUUCGUGUUCCGCCCCCGAGUGAAAUUGAUAUUAUCACCUUCGGAACUUUGAUAACUUAAAAUGUAAUAUUGAAAAUAGUCCGAUCUUAUUGUAAUACAUUUAAUGAUUAACGAUGAUAACUAAUGCAACAAAUCUUAAAAAAUUAUUGUUUCUUACACUUUGAGUAAUAUUGAGAUGGUUGUUUUUUAAGGGCAUCUUAUAUGUAUGAUUACAAAAUAAUAAAACAUGCGACUUUUUCAUGAUCGACUGGAUUAGUAUAAAUAAAUCGUAAAACAUGAUUAGUGCGUAGCAACUAGCAAGUAGCAAUGUACCUUAAAAUAGAACGGUUUUAAACUUUUAUUUAUAUUGCCCCAGUAAGCUCUUGAUUUAUGGAGACUUUCUUUUCUACCAGAAAGAAAGACAUAGGACACGGCUCCAGAAGUUGGUGUUGGUCUCGAGACGAAGGAUUCGAUAAGGCAGUAAAGGAAAAUUCGAUUGAUGCUAGUUCCAGAAAGCAGAUUCCAGAUGUGGAGAUUACGACUAGAGAGAUUUUGGAAGGGGUUCCAGUGGGCCAAUACUCAUAAUUCCCCUAUAUUAUGGGCUUAGUUAGCCCGUUUGUUAUAAUAAGUUAAAUUUUCUCCAUAUCAAAUUAUGUUUGCUAGCUUUGGCUCUUUCAAAAAAAAAUUAUCAAUUAAUUUGUAAACUCUACCACUGUUAAUUAUUUAAUUUGAUAAAUUAAUAAAAAUAAAUUUAGUUCGUAUAUAGACGUAUAGCAUGUUUAUGCGAACCAUUUUAACUUUUGUGUGAUUUUUAUUUCCUUUCACCCAUGAUUAUUUGUGUUUGUGUAAUUCUAAAUUAUAUCAAUGGUCAUUAUGGUUUGGUAUAAACAUUUUUUUUGUCCUUAACUUAUUUCUUUAACUCGGACAUAGUUUUUAUGAUACUUUUUGUUAUAUUUUUGGUCAUUGCUAAACGUAAAAUAAAUAUUUUGUCCUUAAUAUUUUUUUAAUUCAUUUGUUUUUUGGUUACUCUUUAUUAAUUUAGAAAAUAAACUUAGAUAAUUUAUAAAUAAAUGGGUCCUACAUCCCACAUCCUCAUCACUCGCCAGAUUUCGACACCACCUCCACCCGCCAUUCUUUCCACCACCUUAUUCCUUUCAUCCCAAUUAUUUUCAUCUUAUAAAUUAAACCUAGAUGCCAACAAUGAAAAUCAGACAUGUACAAACCUAAUGUAAAUCAGUUGACAUCUACAACCAUCUUUUAUGCUCGAAUCCAUCUAAUGAUUUUUUUUAACGUGGGUUGAGUUUAAAUGUUGGGGCUGAAAAUGAUUUUCUAGGAGUGAUAGUGGGAGAAAAAUCAGAGAAGCUCCAAAUGAAACCCAAAUUUGAAAACCAAAACUUGAAAUGAAUAUUUUUCCUUUUUCUCCAUCCAUCUACCUUGUCCCUCAAUUGUCUAGCCUAUAUAGUGAUUGCAAUCCUUUUGUCGAUCUUCUCAAUCAUUUACUUAUUGAGCCUUGUAACCUAUGUCGGUACCACCUCGAACAAGGCCCUCAAGACAUCAGAAUACAACGGAACACGUAGGCUUGCAUCAUCCAAACCUAAUCCACCAUAAACACUUGGGCCCAAACCAUAAGUAUAACCAUUCUUCCCCUUCCUAGCCAUCACUAUACUACAGGUAUAAUUGGAAACAAAUUAAAAUGAACUCAUAGUGUUACCCAUACUAUUUCUCAACUACUAGCUCCUCAUAAUCCUUGUGACUCUCCGUGAUUCAAAUAUAGAUCAUGUGCAUACUACCAUCCAUACCAAUACGUACCUGCCCCAAGAAUUAUCCCAAAGUUCUCAAGUUGCUCCUCUAUGACCAUCACCAGGUUUCCUAUCAUGCAUGCAUAUGCUUAUCCAUAUACACUAAAAUACUUCUUAAGAGUCUCUAGGAUUUAUCCUCUACUCAUGUGGUGGAAAGGUCUCUGCUAAUGUCGACAAGUCCUCCUAUGAAUGCAAGUUAUAUGUAAUUGAAGAUAAGACAAACAUUUGACUAGAUGUCUCUGCCAUAAGACCCUUCUCAGACAAAAACAUGCAAUAAGGAUAAAUCAAGACUUCUAAUGUUAUCUAGUCAUAAUCAUGUACUAUUGGAAAUAAUGUUCAAGAUUAUUAACUAUUGAUAAUAUUUCUAAAUAAUAACAGGGUUCAUUUAGGUUGUCUUCAUGACACAAAUAAGAAAUCAAAAGAAAAAAAAAUUAAGGAGAAAAUUAGUUUAUUAAUUUAUUAUGCUUAAUAAAUUAAUCAAAAACUAUUUUGGAAUUACUUAUGGAUUAAUUAAUUCAAAAGGUUGAAUAUUAAUUAGUUCAAAUAUUGACUAAUUGGAAUAUUCAAAAACCCUUUAUGGAAUAAGGGAAAAGUGAAAUCUCCAUCCCACAUGGGAUGGGAGAAGAUUUUGAAAUUAUCUCCAUCCUACAUGGCAUGGAAGAUGAAACAUGGCAAGGGCUUUAAGGCUAUAAAUAUGGUACUAAGGGCUUUAUUACGCCUUGCACCUUAGCUUCAAAUUUUUAACAAAUUCUUCCCUUUCUCUCUAUGGGACGAAUUUAUUAACCCUUCCUAGGGUUUGUAGAAAUGUAACCCUCUCCUAGUUUUCUUUUGGUUUCCUCUUAGGACUCUUGGGUGUGAUUCCAUUUGAAGGGUUCUCCAUUGGGUCCUCUCAUCCAAGCAACAUG
rnacentral:lncRNA from 1 species